rnacentral:rRNA from 1 species
GACAGAGGGUGCGAACGUUGUUCGGAAUUACUGGGCGUAAAGCGCGUGUAGGCGGCAGCGCAAGUCGGGCGUGAAAUCCCACGGCUCAACCGUGGAAGUGCACUCGAAACUGCGCAGCUAGAGUCCUGGAGAGGAAGGUGGAAUGCUUGGUGUAGAGGUGAAAUUCGUAGAUAUCAAGCGGAACACCGGUGGCGAAGGCGGCCUUACUGGGACAG